UACGUAGGGUGCAAGCGUUGUCCGGAAUUAUUGGGCGUAAAGAGCUCGUAGGCGGUUUGUUGCGUCGGCUGUGAAAUCCCGAGGCUCAACCUCGGGUCUGCAGUCGAUACGAGCAAACUAGAGUGUUGCAGGGGAGACUGGAAUUCCUGGUGUAGCGGUGAAAUGACGCAGAUAUCAGGAGGAACACCGGUGGCGAAGGCGGGUCUCUGGGCAACAACUGACGCUGAGGAGCGAAAGCGUGGGGAGCGAACAGG
rnacentral:rRNA from 1 species